CCCGCCGCGCUCCGGCGUCUCCUCGGCGCGCCCGGCUCCCGGCUGUCCCCGCCCGGCGUGUGGGCCGGUGUAUGGGCCCCUCACCAUGUCGCUGAAGCCCCAGCAGCAGCAGCAGCAGCAGCAGCAGCAGCCCGCGGCCGCCAAUGCCCGCAAGCCCGGCGGCGGCGGCGGCCUUCUCACGUCGCCCGCCGCCGCGCCGUCUCCGUCCUCUUCCUCAGUCUCGUCGUCCUCGGCCGCGGCUUCCUCCUCCUCCUCCUCCUCCUCGGUGGCGGCGGCGAGCGCAGGCGGCGGGCGGCCGGGCCUGGGCAGAGGCCGAAACAGUAGCAAAGGACUGCCUCAAUCUACGAUUUCUUUUGAUGGAAUCUAUGCAAAUAUGAGGAUGGUUCAUAUACUUACAUCAGUUGUUGGAUCCAAAUGUGAAGUACAAGUGAAAAACGGAGGUAUAUAUGAAGGAGUUUUUAAAACAUACAGUCCUAAGUGUGAUUUGGUACUUGAUGCUGCGCAUGAGAAAAGUACAGAAUCCAGUUCGGGGCCAAAACGUGAAGAAAUAAUGGAGAGUAUUUUGUUCAAGUGUUCAGAUUUUGUUGUGGUACAGUUUAAAGAUAUGGACUCCAGUUAUGCAAGAAGAGAUGCUUUUACUGACUCUGCUAUCAGUGCUAAAGUGAAUGGUGAACACAAAGAGAAGGACCUGGAGCCCUGGGAUGCAGGUGAACUCACUACCAGUGAGGAACUGGAGGCUUUGGAAAAUGAUGUUUCUAAUGGAUGGGAUCCCAAUGAUAUGUUUCGAUAUAAUGAAGAAAAUUAUGGUGUAGUGUCUACAUAUGAUAGCAGUCUAUCUUCAUAUACGGUGCCCUUAGAAAGGGAUAACUCGGAAGAAUUUUUAAAACGAGAAGCAAGGGCAAACCAGUUAGCAGAAGAAAUUGAAUCAAGUGCCCAGUAUAAAGCCCGGGUGGCCCUGGAAAAUGAUGAUAGGAGCGAAGAAGAAAAAUACACAGCAGUUCAGAGAAAUUCCAGUGAACGUGAGGGCCACAACAUAAACACUAGGGAAAAUAAAUAUAUUCCUCCUGGACAAAGAAAUAGAGAAGUCAUAUCCUGGGGAAGUGGGCGACAGAAUUCACCGCGUAUGGGCCAGCCUGGAUCAGGCUCCAUGCCAUCGAGAUCCACCUCUCACACUUCAGAUUUCAACCCAAAUUCUGGUUCAGACCAAAGAGUAGUUAAUGGAGGUGUUCCCUGGCCAUCGCCUUGCCCAUCUCCUUCCUCUCGCCCACCUUCUCGCUACCAGUCAGGUCCCAACUCUCUUCCACCUCGGGCAGCCACCCCUACACGGCCGCCCUCCAGGCCCCCCUCGCGGCCAUCCAGACCCCCGUCUCACCCCUCUGCUCAUGGUUCUCCAGCUCCUGUCUCUACUAUGCCUAAACGCAUGUCUUCAGAAGGGCCUCCAAGGAUGUCCCCAAAGGCCCAGCGACACCCUCGAAAUCACAGAGUUUCUGCUGGGAGGGGUUCCAUUUCCAGUGGCCUAGAAUUUGUAUCCCAUACCCCACCAAGUGAAGCGACUGCUCCUCCAGCAGCAAGGACCAGUCCCGCAGGGGGCACAUGGUCAUCAGUGGUCAGCGGGGUUCCAAGAUUAUCCCCGAAAACUCACAGACCCAGGUCUCCCAGACAGAAUAGUAUUGGAAAUACUCCUAGUGGGCCAGUUCUUGCUUCUCCCCAAGCUGGUAUUAUUCCAGCUGAAGCUGUUGCUAUGCCUGUACCAGCUGCAUCUCCUACGCCUGCCAGUCCUGCAUCCAACAGAGCUGUAACCCCAUCUCUUGAGGCUAAAGAUUCCAGGCUUCAAGAUCAGAGGCAGAACUCUUCUGCAGGGAAUAAAGAAAAUAUGAAGCCCAGUGAGACAUCACCUAGCUUCUCAAAAGCUGAAAGUAAAGGUAUAUCACCAAUUGUUUCUGAACAUAGAAAACAGAUUGAUGAUUUAAAGAAAUUUAAGAAUGACUUUAGGUUACAGCCAAGUUCUACUUCUGAAUCUAUGGAUCAGCUGCUAAACAAAAGUAGAGAGGGAGAAAAAUCAAGAGAUUUGAUCAAAGACAAAAUUGAACCAAAUGCUAAGGAUUCUUUCAUUGAAAGUAGCAGCAACUGCACCAGUGGCAGCAGCAAGCCGAGCAGUCCCAGCAUUUCCCCUUCAAUCCUCAGUAACACAGAGCACAAGAGGGGACCUGAGGUCACAUCCCAAGGGGUUCAGACUUCCAGUCCAGGAUGUAAACAAGAGAAAGAUGAUAAAGAGGAGAAGAAAGACGCAGCUGAGCAAGUGAGGAAAUCAACGUUGAAUCCCAAUGCGAAGGAGUUCAACCCGCGUUCCUUUUCUCAGCCAAAGCCUUCUACAACCCCAACUUCGCCUCGUCCUCAAGCACAACCUAGCCCAUCUAUGGUGGGUCAUCAGCAGCCAACUCCAGUUUAUACUCAACCUGUUUGUUUUGCACCAAAUAUGAUGUAUCCAGUCCCAGUGAGCCCAGGAGUGCAACCUUUAUAUCCUAUACCUAUGACGCCCAUGCCUGUCAAUCAAGCCAAGACAUAUAGAGCAGGUAAAGUACCAAAUAUGCCCCAACAACGGCAAGACCAGCAUCAUCAGAGUACCAUGAUGCACCCAGCCUCAGCAGCAGGCCCACCAAUUGUGGCCACCCCACCAGCUUAUUCCACACAAUAUGUUGCCUAUAGUCCUCAGCAGUUUCCAAAUCAGCCUCUUGUUCAGCAUGUGCCACAUUAUCAGUCUCAGCAUCCUCAUGUCUAUAGUCCUGUAAUACAGGGUAAUGCUAGAAUGAUGGCACCACCAACACAUGCCCAGCCUGGUUUAGUAUCUUCUUCAGCAACUCAGUACGGGGCUCAUGAGCAGACGCAUGCGAUGUAUGCAUGUCCCAAAUUACCAUACAACAAGGAGACAAGCCCUUCUUUCUACUUUGCCAUUUCCACUGGCUCCCUUGCUCAGCAGUAUGCGCACCCUAAUGCUACCUUGCACCCUCAUACUCCACAUCCUCAGCCUUCAGCUACUCCCACUGGACAGCAGCAAAGCCAACAUGGUGGAAGCCAUCCUGCACCCAGUCCUGUUCAGCACCAUCAGCACCAGGCCGCCCAGGCUCUCCAUCUGGCCAGUCCACAGCAGCAGUCAGCCAUUUACCAUGCGGGGCUCGCACCAACCCCACCUUCCAUGACACCUGCCUCCAAUACACAGUCGCCGCAGAAUAGUUUCCCAACAGCACAACAGACCGUCUUUACGAUUCAUCCUUCUCAUGUUCAGCCGGCUUAUACCAAUCCACCCCACAUGGCCCAUGUACCUCAGUUCUGGUUCAAGGUAUCUCUAGAAAAAGACAAGACUGAGAGAUGUUCUCUUUGGUGGCUAGAGGUCUGCUUCAGAAGGAGGAAGGCCGGCCAGAGUUGGGCAGUGCCGAAAGUCCACAUCCUCACCCUGACGCUGAUUCUAAAUGAUCAAAGGCAGAAGAUUUAUACCAGAUAAAGCCAUAUGGAUUGCUGGUCUAAAAUUCAAGGCAGAUGUUUGUUCCCAGGGCCCAGGAGCUCUCAUCGUUUUCUCGGAAAGGAGAUCACCCCUUCAGUGCCCCCAUCUCCUCCACUUCCUCCUGUGAUAAAACUGCAGCUUUUCCUAAGAGCCAGGAGACAGACAGCAAGGCGCACCUGGAAAUACCACAGCUCCCACCAAGGCAGUACCGGCUGGGGAGGAGGAGACAAGAGGCAGGAGCAAAGGGUUGGUAUGGUGAUUGGGUGAACUAUUGCAAGUGAAAGAAAUACCUGAUAAACAGCUGUUGUUAAAUUUCCAGGCUGGGGUCUGAGGCCAGCCAAGAUGGGAAAAGCCUGCUUGGGUUGACUGCAGCGUUACAGUGCUCCUGUGUCACGUACGGUACUACAGCUUCCCCUGAGCACACACCUGCUUCCUCCCAGCCUUACAGACCCUGUUUGUGAUGUGCUCCCUUUCUACCUGCAACGAAGUUGACACAUAAUAUAACCUCCCUCCCUACAUACAUACCCUAAGUAAGAUAAAAGGGAA